rnacentral:rRNA from 1 species
GUGACCUGCGGAAGGAUCAUUAUUGUAUAACACGAGACAUUGAGGCUGUCGCUGACGAAAGUCGUGCACGCCUUGGUGUUCUUACAUCCAUUUCACCCUUGUGCAUCAUCGCGUGGGCCGUUCCCAUUGGGAAUGGUCUACGUUUUUAAUACAAACCCCUAUUGAUGUGUAGAAUGUGUACUUUGCGAUAACAACGCAACUAAUACAACUUUCAACAACGGAUCUCUUGGCUCUCGCAUCGAUGAAGAACGCAGCGAAAUGCGAUACGUAAUGUGAAUUGCAGAAUUCAGUGAAUCAUCGAAUCUUUGAACGCACCUUGCGCCCCAUGGUAUUCCGUGGGGCAUGCCUGUUUGAGUGUCACGUAAACCCUCAUCCGUGCGAUCUUACCGUCGCACGAAUGGACUUGAGUGUUGCCGUAAUCGGCUCGCUCUGAAAUGCAUUAGCUUUGCGUCUAUUAGCGCGCUCGGCGUGGUGUGAUAAUUAUCUUCACCUAGCCUUAGGCCGCUUCCAAUGUCGCUGCUUCCAAUGGUCUUCACGGACAAAUCCAAUCAAAGCUUUGGCCUCAAAUCAGGUAGGACUACCCGCUGAACUUAAGCAUAUCAAUAAGCGGAGGAAAAGAAACUAACAAGGAUUCCCCUAGUAACGGCGAGUGAAGAGGGAAGAGCUCAAAUUUGAAAUCUGGCGGCCUCAGGUCGUCCGAGUUGUAAUCUAGAGAGGCGUUUUCGUGCUGGACCGUGUACAAGUCUCUUGGAACAGGCGUCGUAGAGGUGAGAAUCCCGUUUAUGACACGGACUACUAGUGCUCUGUGAUACGUCUUCAAGAGUCGAGUUGUUUGGGAAUGCA